rnacentral:rRNA from 1 species
AGAGUUUGAUCAUGGCUCAGGAUGAACGCUGGCGGCGUGCCUAAUACAUGCAAGUCGAGCGAACCACUUCGGUGGUGAGCGGCGAACGGGUGAGUAACACGUAGGUGAUCUGCCCAUCAGACGGGGACAACGAUUGGAAACGAUCGCUAAUACCGGAUAGGACGAAAGUUUAAAGGUGCUUCUGGCACCGCUGAUGGAUGAGCCUGCGGCGCAUUAGCUAGUUGGUAGGGUAAAGGCCUACCAAGGCGACGAUGCGUAGCCGACCUGAGAGGGUGAACGGCCACACUGGGACUGAGACACGGCCCAGACUCCUACGGGAGGCAGCGGUAGGGAAUCUUCGGCAAUGGGCGAAAGCCUGACCGAGCAACGCCGCGUGAAUGAUGAAGGCCUUCGGGUUGUAAAAUUCUGUUAUAAGGGAAGAACGACUUUAGUAGGAAAUGGCUAGAGUGUGACGGUACCUUAUGAGAAAGCCACGGCUAACUACGUG